GGACCGUUAUCCCGAAGGCCGGGCGGGCAGCUCAUAACUGUUUGGUCUAGGUUCGAUUCCUGGACGGUCCACCA
rnacentral:tRNA from 17 species